AAAUAUAAUUGGAAUACACGUUCUCGCAAAUCUCGCACCUCCACUCUCCCAGUCUCCCUCAUUUGCAGGUUGGUUCCUUAACGUGAGAAACCCCCAAAUCUCCAUUUCUUUUUCCAAACAAGUCUUGCAUCGAACAUGAAUCACAUCUAAAACCAGCAGCAAAACACAUAGAUUCAGAGGGGAAAGGGGAGGCGAACUAGAACAGAUUCGCGAGGAGGAACAGCAGCGAUGAACGUGGCGGCGCGUGGGAGGAAAAGCAGUGGCGGAUCGGAACCUCACGAGGGAGAACGGUGGGUCGUGGUGAUGGCUAGCAGAGGAGCGUGGUGGAGGCGAUUUAGAAGGAAGGGAUGUGGUGCAGCCAUGGGAGAGAAAGGGAGUGGCCACUGGUUCCUCCUCCUCCAACGGCCCCAACCCUAACGCAGCAGCAGAGCAGUAAAGACCAGCUUGCUGGAAAAGGAACCUGUUGAUUUUUGGCCUCUUAUUCUUGAUUUCCCUCAGAUUUGUUACCUCUGAUUCACAAUUUCUAUCUCGCAGGAAGCUCCUCACCGAAGCCAUAAUGUCUACUGCCUCACGCAGGCUUCUCCCAAUCCAAUUCUAUUACCUAUUUGCACUGCAAUAUAUCUGAUAAGAACCUUGGGAGAACCACACCACAAAAGCUAGCUGCUGUAGUUGGAGAGCUCAAGGCCUUAUAAACCCCACAUUAGAAUCCCAUACUUCCAAUGUGGGACUCAAGUCUCAUACCUUGCAAUGGGGUCCUAACAUCCCACCACGCUCCGUAGCCCCGGCGCCCACGCGGGCUGGCUGUGCACUAGCCCCACGACUAGUCCCGGGCGAACACUGCAAUGCCGGCGUUACCACCCGCGCCGCUCGUUUGCAUCUCAGAGACAUGGUGGAAGGCUCUGAUACAAUUGAUAAGAACCUUGGGAGAACCACACCACAAAAGCUAGCUGUUGUAGUUGGAGAGCUCAAGGCCUUGCAAUGGGGUCCUAACAAUAUCCCCCCCUGAGAAAGACACUUUCCAGUUCUGCAGCAAGCAAAGAAACAAUCAUGGCAGCUCCAACAGAUUUUUUGGAUCCAAGAUAGCGCCCCCGAUAAUAAAGAUCCCAUGAUCAGCAAUCUAUUGUGGAUGCCCUUUCGAGUUAGCAACAAGCAACUUUGGGCAAAAUGUAGACAGAAUGGAGUAUAAUGAUAUAGAAGUUUCAUUUUCGUCCUCAGCACCUUAUGCUCUGACCCUGACUCAAUUUCACACAAAUCAGAAGCACUGUGUAUAAAGGGUAACCCAAGCAACGCUUUCGCAUUCACCAUGUUCAGUAUGAACAGUGGAAAAGCUUCAGAAGAUCUGAAGCUAUACAAACUCUGAUGAGGACUCAGUCGCUAGAAGCUCUGAUGAUCCAGAAGUUCUGACAACCAAGAAACACUGAAGGUUCAGAUGUUCCGAUGGUGUAGAAGACUCUGAAGAUCCAGAAGCUGAAUAGUGGAAACUCUGAAGUCCAGAAGCAAGAAACUCUGAAGGCCAUGUUCUUCCCUCUGAGUUCAGAAUCAGAAGAUACAAUGGUCAGAGGAUCUGUGCUAUCCCUCUGACUCUGAUCAACCGGUUUCACAAGUUCCAAUACGAAGCAUUCCUCUGAUCAGAAGUCUCCUAGGUUAAAAGGUCAAGUCGCUAUCCAAGUACAAAAGCAAGUGUACCUUCCUGACGACCUACCUAACGUUCUCAGCCACAGCAGAAGCUGGAUUUUCCAGAACUGCCCUCCAACGGUAGCAUUUCCCAUGCAACGCUCAACCCUAAUCCUUGGAGUAUAUAUAGAGGCUGAAGAUUGAAAGAAGCGGCUAGAAGAAAAAAAAUAUAGAAGAAGCAAUACACACGCGCAAGAUAUAUUCUAAGCUUUCUUUCAUCUUGUAAUUUAUUUUAGUUUACACUCAGCUUAUUCAGAAGCAAACCCUUGUAAACACCAACCUCAAACAGUUGUUUGAUUUUCCUUUAGGAGAUCAAGGUUGAUCGGAUCCUAGAGAAGACUAAGAGAGUGAAUCUUAGUGUGAGCUAAGUCAGUGUAAUUGUUAGUCACUUGUAGGUUUCAAGUGCAGUUGUAACUCUUACCUGAUUAGUGGAUUGCCUUCAUUCUAAGAAGGAAGAAAUCACCUUAACGGGUGGACUGGA